CCAGUUCACCUGGGCUGUACCAAAAAAGGCAGAAAAGCCGGUCUUAUUCUCUCUCUACCCCAGCCCAGGAUGAAUUUAAUGGGGACACGCCUGGACGGAGACUAUCAACAACUUCACCUAGGCAGUCCCAAAAAAGACAGCGAAACCACUCUCGUUCCUCCUCCUCUAUCGAUGUUGUAGUUGGACCAUCCAACAGUUGGGCCAUGAGUCGAUCCAGCAGACACAGCAGCUCUAGCCCCUCUCAUUCUCCAUCUACCCAUUUUCGGGAUGUAGUUGGGCAAUUCAGGAAUUCAGCUGGCCGUUCCCGAUGAUCUCCUUCCCCAUCUCACUUCACACACGGUGGGUCAAGAGUACAGCUUGGCUUACGAGUCCAGAAAUCUUAAUCAGAUUCAUCCAGGGCUUCUACUUGCCAGUCCCAACGGAUCCAAGAGCAUCGCAGCUCUCACCCUCCCAUUCCCUGCGCUAGACCACAGAUGUUGUCCAUGAAUAAUGCCAAUAAGUGGAUUGUUCCACGAAAUGUGUGCCUUUUGAUUCUCUCUGAUACUUCAUGUAUAAAUGAUGCACC